UUUAAGAUUCUUCGGUACAAUAUGAUAUGACAAAUACCGAUACUACAUGAUAAGAUGGUCAUAAUGCGAUGCGAUGUAAACAUUCUCAACAUGAAAAUAUCUCCAGCAGAUGAUACCGAACACGUUGAGGGCUCAUACUGGCCUCGACGUGGGCUUGCAGCUGAACAAUUCAUGAAACUUGGCGGCAGGAACCCUCGCUUCAACUACAGUCUCCACCUUACCAACCGGAGACAUUUUAAUAGACCCUAAUAACAUUCAGUAGCCAACCAUAAGCAGAAAGAAGAAGCAGUACAUUUGAAGAACUGCACUUGCCUUCAGCCUUUAUACUGGUUUUGUGGAAAGCAUACGGUGGAGCGGCUUCAGCAUAUGUCUCGCCAAUUACCAAUAUAAUUGAUUUAUAUUAAAUUAUUAUCCAAGGAAAAGGUUUGAUCAAAUGUCCAAAACAAGUAGACCCCUAAGUUUCAAAUAUGUACAAACAAAUCAUAUCUUUCUUAUUAGUACAACCAUCGAGCAUCGACUAUAUUCACCGAAGAAUUAACGUGAAAAUCUCAGGCAGGACCAAUUAUUAGUACUCUGCCAUUUGGUUAAAUUGUGAUAUUUAAAAUUUAAUAUUAUCAAAUAAUGGGAUCCAUCACUUACCAAAUAGCCGAACAUUAGUUCCUACCACCUGAGGUGCGGGCCGAUCUUACUUAAGUUUUUCUCAAAAUUAAUGGUCCUGAAAUGAAUUGAACUUUUCAGAAAGCCAUAAAAAACGAGAAAAAAGUUAAUCUUCAAUUAUUUAACGAGAUGGAGAUGAGUUUAGUACCAAAUACUUUAGCUUUUUAGUCCGGCUGAUUAGCAUAUGGUAGAUUAUUUCACCAGUCACCUGUGUGCAAGCUAACAGCUGUGGUAUAUAUAUAAUCGGAAGACACACAAGCCAGAAGUUGAUCCCAAUAAUUUACUCAUACAAGCACUUCUAGAGAAGAACUAGCACUCCACUCCUUGAUUGAAUUCUUUUAUCUAU
rnacentral:lncRNA from 1 species